rnacentral:rRNA from 1 species
GUCCUGCGGAGGGAUCAUUA